rnacentral:rRNA from 1 species
CAGCAGCCGCGGGAAAACGUAGGGCGCGAGCGUUAAUCGGAAUUACUGGGCGUAAAGCGUGCGCAGGCGGUUUUGUAAGACAGGCGUGAAAUCCCCGGGCUCAACCUGGGAAUGGCGCUUGUGACUGCAAAGCUAGAGUGCGGCAGAGGGGGAUGGAAUUCCGCGUGUAGCAGUGAAAUGCGUAGAUAUGCGGAGGAACACCGAUGGCGAAGGCAAUCCCCUGGGCCUGCACUGACGCUCAUGCACGAAAGCGUGGGGAGCAAACAGGAUUAGAUACCCGUGUAGUCCCUGUCUCUUAUAC